rnacentral:rRNA from 1 species
UAUGUAGGGGGCAAGCGUUAUCCGGAUUUACUGGAUGUAAAGGGAGCGUAGACGGCGCGGCAAGUCUGAAGUGAAAGGCGGGGGCCCAACCCCCGGACUGCUUUGGAAACUGUCAUGCUGGAGUGCAGGAGGGGUAUGCGGAAUUCCUAGUGUAGCGGUGAAAUGCGUAGAUAUUAGGAGGAACACCGGCGGCGAAGGCGGCAUACUGGACUGUAACUGACGUUGAGGCUCGAAGGUGCGGGGAGCAAAC